CUUUAUUUACUUUAUAAUCAUGCAUCGGUUCACAUCAAUAGUGGCAUUAAAAACUGUGCAAGCAAAAUACAUUUGCCGGAGACCCCCCACCCAAACCCCAGAAAUACACAAAAGGUAGAUUUUUGAUUAAUUGGGAUAUCAAUGAAAGUACAGGCUGCACAACUGUGCCGGACAAGGAAUUCCUGGGCUGACUUUUGCAAACUUGGCUGGCCCGUCUAGCAAAGGGCAAAUCUGUUAACACACCUGAGCUUGCUGGGCACAUGACCCAAGGGGAAGUGGGGAUGAGCCCCAAAGGUAUGGUGGGUACACAGUCUAUCAUUUCAAGGGAAAGGUCUCUAGGGGACUUUAGCUUGCACAGGGCAGAAGCGUAGUGAGAUUUAUUUUGUAUUAUUUCUUUCCACCAUCACUGCGUGUGACCCUUUGAAAAGAGGUUCCUUAAACUCCUUAAUCUGAGGCAAGGAGGCAACAGCGAAAGGCUGAGGGUCCAGGCUGGUCCCUGAGUCCUGCUGAAAGAACUAAUCUGUCAGUUCAGACUUCUGGGUUCCCUGGCAUUUCCCAUAUGUAUCCUCUGGGACAACACUGGGUCUCUACCACCACUGGAUAUUCCUGGUCUCAGCUCGCGCCUGACGCUACAGUUCCCAGAUGGACACAGAGUACAACUGGGAACAUUAAACCUCAGGAGCCACCGACAAUUUCAUGCCCUGCGAGAUUGCCCAGCAGCAUGGUGUGGCAAUGCAAUAAUUGGGGAAUCUGCAGACAGUGAGAGCCCAUACUGUAUCCUGCUUCCUCCACAGGGCCAGGCUCCAGGGAUGAGGCUCCAGCUCCAGCUUCCAGGAUGAAGAGCAAGAUAACAUCCCGGUGGAUCCCGGCCCCUGACCCUCGCCUGCCUCCCCCUCCAUCCGUUCUCUGUGCGGGCAUGGCUCCUUCCCGGCCCUGUUUGGCGCAGAAGCAGCAGCCAAAGUUUCCUCCCAUUAAAACAGCCUCUCGAGUUAUUCCGGAGCCGGGGCAGACUUUGGCUGCUGCCUCUGUGCCAGGCCGGUCGGGACGGAGCCCAGACGCCCGUACGGAGGAGUUCAGGGUGGGGCAGCUAAUAAGAUCAGGUAGGAGGAAAUGCCCCCUUUCCAGGUCCCAACCCUCCUGCCCCAGACUGGGGCUCGUGUGGCUGGGAGCCAGGCGCCGGCUGAUGUCUCCCUUUGUUUUGCAGCGAGUAGAAGGUUCAGCCUGGGAGCCGCUGCAUCCCGGGAGGGACUGGAGCCGAGACAAUGGCCUCUCGCCUCACAGGUAAGGGGACAGGGGGAUUUCAUUGCUUUGCCGCUCUAUGCUUUGCUGCUCGUGAUUUGCGGGUUUGGGGGGCGCGGGCAGGUGGUGCGUCGGAAUGUCACCCCCCUUCAGGAUGGCACUUGGGGCAGCCCGUCCCCCUGCCCCCCAUCGGUACGCCCCUGGCCACAAACAGGAUUCGAGCCCAGGAGCCAUCUGCUCACCUGGGACUUCUUGAAGCCCCGCCCCUGGUCGUUUGGUCUGUGACAGACCAUUCACACAUUCAGGGAUUCCUUCUUUCUUGCAGGGUUUGGCUUCUGCUCCGCUGUGGCUGCUGCUGAAGCCCCUUCCCCACAAAUAAUACAGGUAAGAGUAAGAAGGGAGAAUUUGCAUGGAGCGGGGAAAAGUGCCUCCUGUAGAGCGAAAAAUACGGUAUUCCGGAGCCGGGGGAGAAUUUGGCUGCUGCCUCUGUGCCAGGCCGGUCGGGAUGGAGCCCAGACACCCGUACGGAGGAGUUCAGGGUGGGGCAGCUAAUAAGAUCAGGUAGGAGGAAAUGCCCCCUUCCCAGGUGCCCCACCCUCCUGCCCCAGACUGGGGCUAGUAUGGCUGGGAGCCAGGCACCUGCUGAUGACUCUGUUUGUUUUGCAGGGAGGAGAAGGUUCAGCCUGGGAGCCACUGCAUCCCGAGAGGGACUGGAGCCCAGACAAAGGCCUCUCACCCCAGAGGUACUGGGACAGGGGGAAGGACAAAGACCCCCGUACGGAGGCAAGGUAGGGGGAAAUGCCAAUUGAGUGCUGGAGUGUGGGGGGGAGAGCAGGCCUGUCUCGCACCAGCCCCUCACCCCCCUCCUUCCAAGCCAGGGGUCAUGCCAUUAUGUGCCCAGGCAGGAGCAGCGAUCGUUGGCAGCCAAUGGGGACGUGGGCAGAGAGAACAUCCCGGCGGUUCCCGGCUGGCAACCCUCGCACCUCUUCCCCACUGCCCCUUCUCCAUGUGGUCAUGGCUCCUUCCCAGCCCUACUUGGCGCAGAAAGAGGAGCCAAGGUUUCCCCCCGUCAAGAACACCUCAAGAGUUAUUCCGGAGCCGGGGGAGACUUGGGCUGCUGCCACUGUGCCAGGCCGGUCGGGACGAAGCCCAGACGCCCGUAUGGAGGAGGACAGGUUGAGGCAGCUUAUAAGAUCAGGUCGAAGGAAAUGCCCCUUCCCAGGUCCCCCCCCUCCUGCCCCAGACUGGGGCUAGCAUGGCUGGGAGCCAGGCGCCUGCUGAUGUCUCUGUUUGUUUUGCAGUGAGGAGAAGGUUCAGCCUGGGAACAGCUGCAUCCUGGGAGAGACUGGAGCCCAGAUAAAGGCCUCUCAACCCAGAGGUAAUGGGAUAGGGGGAAGGAGAAAGACCCCCGUAGGGAGGCAAAGAGUGGAAAGGCUCAGAGUUCAGGUAGGGGGAAAUGCCAAUUGAGUGCUGGAGUGGGGGGGGGGGGAGCAAGCCUGUCUUGCCCCAGCCCCUCACCCCCUCCUUCCAAGCCAGGGUUGGGCCAUUAUGUGCCCAGGCAGGAGCAGCGAGCGUUGGCAACCAGUGGUGACGUGGGCAUGGGCAGCCUGGCAGGGGUGCUUUUUCUGUCCCCCUCCUUCCCUGGGUCAGCUGGCCAGACACCCUCACCAGCACUCAGGCUGUCCCUACAGAAGUUUGGGGGCUGCUCCCCCCGGGGGCCCUAUGUCUCCACCGCAGGAGGGCCCUUCCUCCACUGGCUUGCCUGCCCAUGAGCUGCUGCCGAGCUGCUCUGUGCCAAACAGGAGAAGGAGAGAUGUGGAAAAGCGAGGAAGGGAGGGAGCUGGGAAGGCAGACGGGGGAGAAAAUAUUGAGGGCGAUGUGCCCCAGAAGGAAAUCAUUGGGGACGGCCCAUGGGACCCCUGUCCCCUAGAGAGUACAAUGUCCUUCUUCCUUUGCAGGGCCGUGGUUUGGGGAAACCACAACCAGCCCAGCAGCAGCCCAGCGGUGCAGGGAAACCCACCAAAAUCCGGAGGUAUGCUGUGACCUUGUGUGGCAGGGGAAGGGUUUCCCAGUGAUCUUGACAGCUGGAGGAGGACGGCCUGAUUUAGAGAUCCCUAUAGUUUUAUGGAGAGGGUUUCUCUGUGGUCCACCUGGCCAGCAAAAGGAGUGGGAUCCUCUGCCAAGGCUGCGCUGGGGCAUUUUUAGGAUGGCAUGACCGGGGUGCUCACGCUGGGCACCACGCUGCAGAGUGGGCGAAAACUAUGUGGAAGAACAAGAGGGAGGGGUGGCAAAUUGUAGGGUGGUACAGGCAGGGCCGUAGCUAGGGGGUGGUGAGGUGGGCCCCCAAUGGGAGCGCAGGUGAGGGGUGGGGCACAAAAUCGGCUCAAAAAUAUCUCCAUAAAUAUGUCUAAAUAUAUAGAGGAUAAUAAUAAAUAUUAUCCUCUAUAUAUUUAUCUGGAACUCCUCCAAGCAAUCAGAAUAACAGAGCUUGUUUCUUCCUUAGGCGAGAGGCCAGCCAGAACAAGGGGGGAAAGGCUCCCACUUCAGGUAAGUGAAAAUCCCAAUUGAGUGCCCUAUAUUACAGGAAUUCUUCCUUCCCAUGUCUCCCAUGUCUCCCACCCUCAUGCACCAGACUGGUACUAGCAUGGCUGGGAGUCAGGUGCCUGCUGAUGUCUCUGUUUGCUUUGCAGGAAGGGAGCCUUUCCCCAAUGUGUACUUUGUUCUGACCAAAUCCCUGGAGACACAUGAGGACCCUCAGGUACUGGGGCAGAAGGAAAGAAGGGGUCCUUUUGAAACAUGUUUGGGGAUGCGUACGAACACUGUCCCCUGUGGCUGCUGCCGAAGCCGCCCUUACAAAAAGAACAGGUAAGAGGAAGGAAAGAUUUGCAUGGGGCUGGGAGAACACCCUACAAGUUGAGCGUCAACAGAAAAUAGGAGAAAAACCUUCCUGCAUGAGAGGAGAAAGGAGAUGGUCUCGUCCAGAAGUGGGUUGGCCAAGCUUUCUUUGGGAGCAAUGUCAGGGCAGGGACAUUGGGUAUCCAUUCCUCACGUCUGCCAGGAUAUUACGAAGUCUUUCUUCCUCCACAGGGCCACGCUUCAAAAGAAUGGUCUCCAUCGCCACUUCCCAAGCUGAUGGACAAGAGCCAAACUCCGUCAUCUGUGGCAUUCCAGUCUUGCAUUUCUGGAUUGACUCCCAAAAUCUAUGAACAGCAAAGAGCGAUCACAUGCACGAACUCCUUAAUUAAGCACUUCUCUCAACAUUUGAACUUUGAUGUGAGUAAGCAGGUCUCAAGGUGACUUCUGGACCAAGGCUUAACGCUGAAAAUUCAGAUUGUUUUCAUAGGGCCACGCUUCCAGAGAAUGGUCUCCAUCGCCACUUCCCAAGCUGAUGGACAAGAGCCAAACUCAGUAUUCCGUGACAUUUCGGUCUUGCUUUUCUGGACUGUAAAGUCCUUCCAAGUCGCUGGAGGAAUCCAUGCUACUCAGUGCCUUGCAUAUCUUCUGGGAUGUUCCGGUUGCUGUCUGAAUGUGCCCUUCCCUGGAAGAGGAGAGCGGCAUGACUGGCACAUGUUAAAAUUAAAUAAAGAAGUCAGAGCAACUGGUUGCUUUCAAUAUGCCAAUGAUCAAAUAAUAUUCCGUAACAAACAGUAUCAAAAAAGCGGGGGGGGGGGGAGGAGCUGUUUUCUUUCCUUCUCUGGCUACUACUGGGAGCUCUGCUUGAGAAGGCUGGAGCCAGCUGGUUCUCAUCAGCACUUUCUCCUUGGAGUCCUUGAAGCUGCAGGUGAAGUCACUCCCCCUUCUCCCCCUUCAGGCUGCUGUUCAGCAGGUCAAGCUGAUUCCUGCCCCGUGACACGAUCCCCCUUCCCCAAGGUGCGCCUCCACCUGCUGGGUGGGUGCUGGCUUUUAGGGAGCACAAUGGUGGAAGUGAUGGACCAACCGGGGGGAGGGGGAGCAUCUUCCCAUGCAAGGCAUCUUCCCAGGAGGAUUUCCCACGAAGGCCAUGAAAUUGGCCGUAGACCCCAAAUCUAUCAUCUUCUUCUAUCAUCUUCACUCAUAGCCGAGUAAGAUUGUCUUCCAUGAACAUGGUCUUAAGAGUCCAUAAUGGACUGUGGAGGCCAAUUCUGGAUCCACACUUCCUUCCACAAUGGGGACAUAGGUUUCCGGGUGGGAGUUGAUCAUGGUGAGGGUUUGCCAAACAUUCUUCCUCCUAGUUUAUUUCUCCCUUUUGUCCUGAGUUCGAGUGUCUUCAAAGUCCAUGACACCAUUGGUAAAGGUUUUUCUCUAAUUGGAGCACUAGCACGCCAGUGUUUCCCAAUUGUUUAUACUACAUUUCUUUUAGAUUUGCUUUGAGAGAGUCUUUAAACUUCUUUCAUUGACCACCACAUUACAUUUUUAAGUUGCUUGGGAAGACAAUAAUCUGGUCUAUAAGGCUACUUUCUAGGUAAUUGGAGAGGGUGGUGUGAGGCAUCUGGGCAUUAGGAAUACAAGCCAAGCCUGGCUCUGUGGCCCUCCUAAAUUGAGGUUAUUCUGUUCCUGGGCAGCUGGCAGAGCCCCUCUUCACUGGGCAUGGGACUGCCCCUUUCCCGGCCUCCACAGGAGACUCACAGUCCCUCUCUGCGUCUCUGUUCCCUUUUGGCAACCAUCAAACGACUCUCAUACUGAUCCUAAGCUGAAGAGCUGCCCAGCCCAGCUGACCUUCCCCCUCCAGAGCCCACCGCUCUCAACCGACUCUCAACUGCCUCCUCC